UCCUGAGAAGAUUGAAUGCAGAGAAGGCAAGUCAUCGCAGGACAUGGAGGAUACUGGGCAGCACAUUGAUGAGAGCUGAGGAAACAGGCUCAUCGAUAAUAUGUACAGUUUUUGUAUGAACGUGUAUCUGCAUAUGGACACACCCGCAUAUUGAUGUGAGCUCCAUGGGACAAGA